rnacentral:rRNA from 1 species
UACGUAGGGGGCAAGCGUUGUCCGGAAUCAUUGGGCGUAAAGCGCGUGUAGGCGGCCCAGUAAGUCCGCUGUGAAAGCCCAGGGCUCAACCCUGGGAUGCCGGUGGAUACUGUUGGGCUCGAGUCCGGAAGAGGCGAGUGGAAUUCCCGGUGUAGCGGUGAAAUGCGCAGAUAUCAGGAGGAACACCGAUGGCGAAGGCAGCUCGCUGGGACGGUACUGACGCUGAGGCGCGAAGGCCAGGGGAGCAAACGGG